AGUGAAAUGUUGGGAUAACUCACGCAACGUGAGCAACCCUUAACCUUUGUUGCCAGCGGGUCGGCCGGGAAAUCAAAGGAGACUGCCCGUGAUAAACUGGAGGCAGGUGGGGAUGACGUCAAGUCAACAUGGCCAUUACGACCAGGGCUACACACUUGCUCCAAUUGCAGAUACAAAGAUACGCGACCUCGCGAGAGCAAGCGGACAUCAUAAAAUAUGUCUAAGUCCGGAUUGGAGUCUGCAACUCG
rnacentral:rRNA from 1 species